GUCAGAAUGGCCGAGUGGUCUAAGGUGCCAGAGUCAAGUUCUGGUCUCCGAAUGGAGGCGUGGGUUCAAAUCCCACUUCUGACA
rnacentral:tRNA from 1 species